UACGUAGGUGACAAGCGUUAUCCGGAUUUACUGGGCGUAAAGGGAGCGUAGGCGGAUAAUUAAGUGGGAUGUGAAAUACCCGGGCUCAACCUGGGCGCUGCAUUCCAAACUGAUUAUCUAGAGUGCAGGAGAGGAGAGUGGAAUUCCUAGUGUAGCGGUGAAAUGCGUAGAGAUUAGGAAGAACACCAGUGGCGAAGGCGACUCUCUGGACUGUAACUGACGCUGAGGCUCGAAAGCGUCGGGAGCAAACAGG
rnacentral:rRNA from 1 species